rnacentral:rRNA from 1 species
AAAUUGAAGAGUUUGAUCAUGGCUCAGAUUGAACGCUGGCGGCAGGCCUAACACAUGCAAGUCGAGCGGAAACGAGUUAUCUGAACCUUCGGGGAACAAUAACGGCGUCGAGCGGCGGACGGGUGAGUAAUGCCUAGGAAAUUGCCCUGAUGUGGGGGAUAACCAUUGGAAACGAUGGCUAAUACCGCAUGAUGCCUACGGGCCAAAGAGGGGGACCUUCGG